GCUUGCCUGGGGCUGGAGCGAGGAGCCCAUUGGGCACGACCGCACCAACCCUAGCUCCCGAUCCACAGCCAUGCACUCCUCCCUCCUCCCUCUCACAGCCGCCACACCCCAUUCCUCUCUUCCUCCUCCCUACUCCUUAACGGAUCCCUUCCACCGCCACACCCACUCGUCUCCUCCUCUCUCUUCUAGCUAACUCCUCCUUCCUGAUCUCUGCGUCAGCCGCAGCGCGAGAGGAGCAGCGGCAGCGGAGAUGCUCCGAUGGCGGCGUCGAGUUGUGAAGCGGCGGUGCCUGGGCGCGAGUCGACAGAAGCCGGAGCGGCUACUCCGGGCCCCGAUCUGGGGGGUUCGGUUCCAGGGCGCCGACAGCUUCUUUGUCUAUGACGCGGGGCCGUGCCGCCGGGGGAAGCCUUGGAUCCAUGCAGGGGGGCUCCCCGGGGGGCGCAGAGGAGGGGGUUGGACGAGCGGGUGAGGAUGCGUGAGGCCAGAAGGAGUUUGGGGUUGCCAGAGAAGCAUGGGCCGCACGGGGGCUGGUCAUCGCCAGAGCAGAGGGGAGGAGGUCGAUGCAGGGGACGCCAUGGAUGGUCGGGGCGCUGGCUCCUCCUUUCCCCAUGCCACGGCUGCCCAGAUCCGGCGAUCCCCUCCUACUCCGGCAUCCAGGUUGGUUGACUCGAUCUCUCAAUCACCCCAUCGCCGCGCUGCACACCAUCGUCAAGGACCAAGCCGCCGCCGCCAGUGUCCUCCUCCCCGGUGGCCGCGGGUGCCCUGCCCACCAAGCUACCCAUUCUUAUCUUUCUGGAGGCAAUCUGGUAGUGCUGAGCGCACGGUGAUGCUGUCACGGUAUCCCCCUCCCCGGUGCUCUUAGAUCCAGCAGUAACUCAACACAGGAAAGCCGAUUGCGCUCGAUCUGCUCGCCUCCUUCGCCUCGCAGGCUCAGCAAGCAGCAACAACGUUAGCUCUGUUUCUCCCACUCCCCUCCCCCUCUCCCUCCUAUAGAUUUCUCUCUAAUGGCAACUCCUAUGGGUUCGGUGUAUCAUAGCAUUUUUUCUUUCUUCCAGCUGAAGCCUGCUCUCAUUAUGCCUGCCGCCUCUCUAUGAGAUCAGUAGGUUUGAUCGCCUUGUCUGCAAUUUGACUGAUUCCAGUUAGUAUUCUUGUUCUUUAUGGGAGAUAUGAGUUUGGAUGUAGCUCACUGGCCAGGAGAACCUGCGAUGCCAGCAGACCAAUCUAGAUCUGCACGUGUUGAAUAUGCAAACAGUUAUGUAGUAUGUGCAGUUUACUUGCUCUGUUUUUACGGGGAUUUUGGAAUUUUCCAUACAUGCAUGACCUAGAUCCGUUUUGUGAUUUCCAUUGUCUAUUUACUGGUGACCCAAGUGUGUCUUAUUUCCAUCUUUCUUUGUCUUGAUAUAGCUGAAGGUCAACUGCUAGCCCAUCCGUGCAAUUCACUAAUUUAAUUAUGCCUGCUUGCUCGAAGUCUAUUUUAUAGAUGGCCGGCAUAUUAUCGUGGGAGGUGUUUAACUGUUUUCUCUGGAAUAAACUGAAAGCUGAUUAUUUUGAAAAUGCAUCAUACCGCGCUGAUUUAUAAUAAGAUUGUUACCCAUCAUCAGUUUUUGGCAUAUGCUUUUGAGUUAUAUAUCGCCAUGCCAAGUUGCCAACUAACUGAUACAUGGUUAUGGUUGAGGAACAAUGUUGAGCAGUACAAGGUUACACCAUCACAGUUCAAACACAUCUUUUUUGGUUGAUAGUUUUUGAGAUAGCUUACUGCUUAUGCCCAAUGGGAGUUUAAUUGGGCAUCUUUAAUAUUCUAAGAAUCACACCGGCGCAGCACGCUUAGGUUGUUUCCAGAUCUCAUGUUUGUCUAAGUCACCAAGUUAACCCACAAGAAUUUGUUUACUUUCUUGGCUAUUGUGGUUAAAGGCAUCCUUUUAUUCGAGCUAUAUAUAGUUUUUGGACAUGUUCCAGUUUGGUUAUUUUUUUUUAUGGAUUUUGAAUAUGUUUCAAUUUGAUCACUUUUGAGACUCGGUUAGAACAGAUAUUUUUUGUUUCUUUACCAUAUAGUUCCUAAUCAGAAAAGCCUCAUCUGCAAGUUGAGGGCAUUGGCAUGAAGGUGUCGUGAGUUAUCUGCAAGGGCAUUGUUAUGACGUGCUCCUCCAUGUCUCCCGCGAGUUCUUGGUGUGGCGAUCAUGGCUCCAGAGAGCAUAAAAUCGACAUCAUGGGUGCCGGUGGCAGAAUGACGGAGGAGCGGGAGAAGCAGGAGCUGCUCGGACGCGCUAGCGCCAGUGAGAUCUUCCAGCAUGCGCCGACGGACAAGCCGGCAUUCACGCUGGCCCAGAUCAAGGAGGCAAUCCCGCCUCACUGCUUCCAGUGCUCGUUGAUCAAGUCCUUCUCCUAUGUGGUCUAUGACCUCGUCAUCAGCGCGUCCCUCCUGUACGCCGCGUUGGUCUGGAUCCCAGCACUCUUGAGCAUGCAACAGCUGGGCGCCUGUCCGCUCUACUGGGUGCCUCAUUUUGAUUUUCUUACCUUGAGGGCUGCGACGAGGCAGACAGGUGGCGGGCGGCAACAAUAGGGGUUGGCGGAUGCUCCGUGACCAAUAGCCUACUUAGUGAUGGGAAGGAGGAUCCGACAAGUUAGCCCCCACAAUUGUGUUGUUGGAGAACUUCUGCGAGCUCAGUAAAAUAAUGAAUCUUCAUCUCCGAUGUUUUCUCUCGAAAAUCGAGCGUGGAUCGCAGGAGCAAGGAGCUGGUCGAGUGUAGUGAACAAGCAAUCAACGCAGCACAUUCGGAAGUUGUGAGAGCUGUGAAUGGCACUGGUCUUGUCAUACUAAUGAGCAGGAGCACCGGCCACAUUACUCUUCAUGCCACUCUGAGCAGUCGGCUGCUGCUUGAGAUUGAUUUCCAUGUUCAAGGGAAGGGAGACCGGAUUGAGUUCCUGUAUAAUGCAAGAAGAAGGGGCAUUGUCGUGGUUGUUGCUGAAGGUGUUGGUCAGGAGCUGAUUACCGGGACUGAUGACAAGAACGAAGAGCAAGAUGAGUAUGUCAACAUGCUGUUCCUUAACGUUGGCCUUUUCUAUAAAGUUCACAUGCAACUCUCCUCCAUGGUUAGAAAAAACUAAUUUAAACGUUUUGUUUCUUUGAUGGUUACUCAUUUCUCUUACCAUUGUUGUAUCAAAACAAUUGUAUUUUCGCUGAUGGCCGCUUGGGCUCAUUUUCGAAGAGAAUGAGAUGUGGAAUAAACUACUCUAAAA